GGGGGCAAGCGUUGUCCGGAUUUAUUGGGCGUAAAGAGCGUGUAGGCGGCUAGGUAGGUGGGUUGUGAAAACUGGAGGCUCAACCUUCAUACGUCGACCCAAACCCCCUGGCUAGAGUCCGGAAGAGGAGAGUGGAAUUCCUGGUGUAGCGGUGAAAUGCGCAGAUAUCAGGAAGAACACCCGUGGCGAAGGCGGCUCUCUGGGACGGUACUGACGCUGAGACGCGAAAGCGUGGGGAGCGAACAGG
rnacentral:rRNA from 1 species